UACGUAGGGGGCAAGCGUUGUCCGGAUUUAUUGGGCGUAAAGAGCGUGUAGGCGGCCAGACAGGUCCGUUGUGAAAACUCGAGGCUCAACCUCGAGACGCCGAUGGAAACCAUCUGGCUAGAGUCCGGAAGAGGAAAGUGGAAUUCCUGGUGUAGCGGUGAAAUGCGCAGAUAUCAGGAAGAACACCAAUGGCGAAAGCAGCUUUCUGGGACGGUACUGACGCUGAGACGCGAAAGCGUGGGGAGCGAACAGG
rnacentral:rRNA from 1 species